rnacentral:misc_RNA from 1 species
ACCACAUAAAUAACAAACAUCAGAACAAAAUCUUUAAUGCAAUACAUCCAAACAUACAUCAAGUUCGAAUAAAUUUCAAUAAGAUCAAAAUUUGCAGCAGACAAGCGCAAAAAAGUGCUAAUCGUACAAUUUCAGUAUUGGUAAAGAGCUUAAGGAGUGGUGUUAAUUCCACACGAUAAAGAAAUUUCACACAGUAUAUCGGCUCUUAGCUGACCUCUCUCUUUUAGAAUCAUCAUGGAAACUAUAGGAUAUCUUUUCGGCAUCAAUGAUCUCCUUCCACUUCCUACCAAUGCCCAUCUGAGCUGCUUCAUUGGUGGCUGUCUUAGUCCACAAGGAAAGUUUAUCCUGACUCCUACGCACACUAGCAACCACCCCACAUAUAUCUUCUGACUCAUCAAAUUGCUCGCCGACCAAUGCCAUCAGUGUUUCUAGCCACAUAGUCUCGAGAUUAGCCUUUCUGCUGCUAGUAGCAGUCCACUUGCCACCAUUGGCACACUCAGGAUCUUCCCAUUUG